GGUGGCUCAGUGGUAGAGCGCUUGCCUUACAUGAAUGAGGCCCUGGGUUCGAUUCCUCAGCACCA
rfam:Dipodomys ordii contig_17218, whole genome shotgun sequence.